CUCCUGUUGAAGCACGAGGUUCAGAGGGCACCCCCUUGCUUUCUAAACUCCUUGAACCGAAGAGGUAAGGAGCCUAGGUGCAGCUGAAUCCACUCCCAGUGCCAGACAGGACAACAGUUAUGUCUAAGGAUUAUGUGUGCACGGCCAAUCUAAGGGGGGAGGCAUGAAACAAAGCCAAGAAACACAUCAUCGUACCCUCUAGUGAAUGAGGACACUUGGUUCAGGGAACCAUUAAGGUCCAGCCUGUUUCUCCCAGCUCAGCUUCUCCCUAUGGUCAAUUAACAUUCAUCCAGCUUCUAAAGGAUUAGCAAAAUUAUGGUAAACUUCAUCAUAUGCUGCAGUUGGCAUAAGCGUGGUGUGAAGAUCCUGUUUCAUAAUCUUGUGCUGCUUCCAGGAAAACAUGCACGAUAUGCUGCCACAGUUUCAUCUGGAUUUCCCUGGGCCCAGGAGCAUGCUUCCAUUUUCUGUGGAUCACUAUGUGCCUUGUACAGUUAAUUGUGUGUUUAUAUGGAAACAAUGUUUAAAAAAAAAGUAAAAAAAAAGUAAC